rnacentral:lncRNA from 1 species
AGUAAAUAGAGAAAGUAAAUAUAGAAAGUAAAUACACAAAUUAAAUAUAGAAAGUAAAUACAGAAAGUAUAUACAGAAAGUAAAUACAGAAAGUAAAUACAGAAAGUAAAUACAGAAAGUAAAUACAGAAAGUAAAUACAGAAAGUAAAUACAGAAAGUAAUUAAAUACAGAAAGUAAAUAGAGAAAGUAAAUACAGAAAGUAAAUACAGAAAGUAAAUACAGAAAGCAAAUACAGAAAGUAAAUAUAGAAAGUAAACACAGAAAGUAAAUAGAGAAAGUAAAUACAGAAAGAAAAUAUAGAAAGAAAAUACACAAAUUAAAUAUAGAAAGUAAUUACAGAAAGUAUAUACAGAAAGUAAAUACAGAAAGUAAAUACAGAAAGUAAAUACAGAAAGUAAAUACAGAAAGUAAAUACAGAAAGUAAAUACAGAAAGUAAAUACAGAAAGUAAAUACAGAAACUAAAUACAGAAAAUAAAUACAGAAAGUAAUUAAAUACAGAAAGUAAAUACAGAAAGUAAAUAUAGAAAGUAAACACAGAAAGUAAAUAGAGAAAGUAAAUAGAGAAAGUAAAUACAGAAAGUAAAUAGAGAAAGUAAAUAUAGAAAGAAAAUAUAGAAAGUAAUUACAGAAAGUAUAUACAGAAAGUAAAUACAGAAAGUAAAAACAGAAAGUAAAUACAGAAAGUAAAUACAGAAAGUAAAUACAGAAAGUAAAUAUAGAAAGUAAAUACAGAAAGUAAAUAGAGAAAGUAAAUAGAGAAAGUAAAUACAGAAAGUAAAUAGAGAAAGUAAAUAUAGAAAGUAAAUACACAAAUUAAAUACAGAAAGUAAAUACAGAAAGUAAACACAGAAAGUAAAUACAGAAACUAAAUACAGAAAGUAAAUAUAGAAAGUAAAUACAGAAAGUAAAUACAGAAAGUAAAUACAGAAAGUAAAUACAGAAAGUAAAUACAGAAAGUAAAUACAGAAAGUAAAUACAGAAAGUAAAUACAGAAAGUAAACACAGAAAGUAAAUACAGAAAGUAAAUAUAGAAAGAAAAUAUAGAAAGUAAUUACAGAAAGUAUAUACAGAAAGUAAAUACAGAAAGUAAAUACAGAAAGUAAAUACAGAAAGUAAAUACAGAAAGUAAAUAUAGAAAGUAAACACAGAAAGUAAAUAGAGAAAGUAAAUAUCGAAGAUACAAUAGAUAUUGAAAAAUUUGUUCAGGAUACAAACAUACACGAUUUUGUAAAAACCAUUGAAGAUAACUAC